AUACUUAUCUGGCAAUGGAGAUACGAUGUUCACAAAAGUGGUUUUCCCAGGGCAAGGAUUGUUCAUUGCUCUCCAGAAGUUCUGACCCCUGCAAUUUCCCCAAGUGAAUAAUUUGUGGUAGUGGGGGACUGCUUUUGCACUCUUCCCUG
ensembl:snRNA U1 U1 spliceosomal RNA